UGUCCCUCAAGCUCUUUGGAGCACAAAAGAAAUUUAUAAGAAAUCACACCUCAAAUCCUUGAGACCACCCAUGACACUCAAUGAAGGCUGUCCAAUAUCAAAUCUCUGGACAAAAACAUAGGAACUUCCAAGAAGAGUUGGAUUGUUUUUAUCAAGUGAAGAGAUCUGCCUGGUGCAAGUGCUAAAGGAACUGCAGAUGGAAGCUCAUAGAUGGAAGCCUGCUAAUCAUACAGCUGUUUUUUUGUUGGGACUUCCACUGGAGAAUAUUCUUAACUCCUUGAACUGCUUAAACUGUCUCUGAAUACUCUGACCGGAAGUCACCCUGCUAGCUGUGAACCCAGCUUUCCUGAAAGAGGUAAUGUGACUGUAAGCUUGUGCCGCCAUCCCAAUUUUCCAGGAAUGGAGACUUGAGAGCCAAUUAAGGAGGCUACUAACUGAGGGUUGUACCAAAUUUCAUUUCUCGAGUUGCUAUGAGCCUUCUGUGUUCCAAGCACAGGAUGAGUGAAAGAGACACUGUUCUUAACCCUCUUGGAGCUCAU